UACGAAGGGGGCUAGCGUUGCUCGGACUCACUGGGCGUAAAGCGCACGUAGGCGGCUUUCUAAGUCAGGGGUGAAAUCCUGGAGCUCAACUCCAGAACUGCCUUUGAUACUGGAGAGCUUGAGUCCGGGAGAGGUGAGUGGAACUGCGAGUGUAGAGGUGAAAUGCGUAGAUAUCAAGAGGAACACCAGUGGCGAAGGCGAGUCCCUGGACAACUUCUGACGCUGAGGCACGAAAGCUAGGGGAGCAAACAGG
rnacentral:rRNA from 1 species